CUACGGGUUGCACCAGGCGCGAAACCUCUACAAUGCACGCAAGUGUGAUAGGGGAAUCCCAAGUGCUCAUGUAACUCAUGGGCUUUUGUCAAGAGUAAAUAUCUUGGCGAAUAAGUGGUGGGUAAGACUGGUGCCAGCAGCCGCGGUAACACCAGCGCCACGAGUGGCAACCACAUUUAUUGGGCCUAAAGCGUCCGUAGCCGGCCUGCUAAAUCCUUUGUGAAAUCAUACAGCUUAACUGUAUGGCUUGCAAGAGAGACUGGCAGACUAGGAACCGGGAGGAGUCAGAGGUAUUUCGGGGGGAGCGGUAAAAUGUGAUAAUCCCCGGAGGACCACCUGUGGCGAAGGCGUCUGACUAGAACGGAUUCGACGGUGAGGGACGAAAGCCAGGGGAGCGAACCGGAUUAGAUACCCGGGUAGUC
rnacentral:rRNA from 1 species